UGCCUCGGCCGGGAAUCGAACCCCGCGUGGCAGGCGAGCAUUCUACCACUGAACCGCCGAUGGU
rnacentral:tRNA from 1 species